GCAGUUCCCCUACGGCUACCUUGUUACGACUUCACCCCAGUCACGAACCCCGCCGUGGUAAGCGCCCUCCUUGCGGUUAGGCUACCUACUUCUGGCGGAACCCGCUCCCAUGGUGUGACGGGCGGUGUGUACAAGACCCGGGAACGUAUUCACCGCGACAUGCUGAUCCGCGAUUACUAGCGAUUCCGACUUCACGCAGUCGAGUUGCAGACUGCGAUCCGGACUACGACCGGUUUUCUGGGAUUAGCUCCCCCUCGCGGGUUGGCAGCCCUCUGUACCGGCCAUUGUAUGACGUGUGUAGCCCUACCCAUAAGGGCCAUGAUGACCUGACGUCAUCCCCACCUUCCUCCGGUUUGUCACCGGCAGUCCCAUUAGAGUGCCCUUUC
rnacentral:rRNA from 1 species